rnacentral:tRNA from 1 species
GGCGUCCUAGCUCAGCCUGGUAGAGUGCUAGUCUCAUGAGCUAGUGGUCCUGGGUUCAAAUCCCAGGGACGCCA